CUUGCUUCUCUUGAGAGCGGCGGACGGGUGAGUAAUGCCUAGGAAUCUGCCUGGUAGUGGGGGAUAACGUUCGGAAACGGACGCUAAUACCGCAUACGUCCUACGGGAGAAAGCAGGGGACCUUCGGGCCUUGCGCUAUCAGAUGAGCCUAGGUCGGAUUAGCUAGUUGGUGGGGUAAUGGCUCACCAAGGCGACGAUCCGUAACUGGUCUGAGAGGAUGAUCAGUCACACUGGAACUGAGACACGGUCCAGACUCCUACGGGAGGCAGCAGUGGGGAAUAUUGGACAAUGGGCGAAAGCCUGAUCCAGCCAUGCCGCGUGUGUGAAGAAGGUCUUUCGGAUUGUAAAGCACUU
rnacentral:rRNA from 1 species